AUGAAAGUGUAGGCACACUGCCCAUGCUGAAUCCGGUUAUAUCUUCUCCCACCGUUUUCUGGACCUCGGCGCUGGUUGCUGCACCCUAUUUUCAGGGUUCAAGAAUACCAGGAGGGCGAUGGUAGUGGCAGCUAUGUCUAAAAGGAAGCACUUGGCUGUAAUCCCUGGAGGCAGAGCCAAGACCCCUUCACUCAACUAUGUAGGCAUCAAAGGUAUCCACAACAGAUGGAAAUACCACAGGGCGCUAAAACAGAAAAACAAGAAGAUGAAGGAAAUCACCUGGUGACUGACGGCACUUCAAGUCUUGAUUCCUACAUGAGAGAAAAAUGCAAAGUUCUCUCUGUCUCAGCUUUUACAACUUCAGGAAGAACAUGUAUUUUAUAUAUCUUCUCAGAAACUCAGAACAUGAUUGGAAAGGAAUGGCGAGAAUCAAUAUGUGAUGACUCAAGUACCCAAUGGCACAUGGAUGGUGACUAAUCCUCGUAGCCAAAGCUGAUAAAUGACCUCCACUGAGCAGUGACUAGAAGAUACAGGGCUUUCUGUGAUUAUUUUUGUGAUUAGAGAGUUGUGACAACCUCUGCUUAUCAGAGGUUAGAUGAACUGCUCAGUAGUAGUUAAGGUGGGAGGCAAAUUGCUUUCUCUUUGUUUUUGCUUAUUUCUUGUUUAUACUAUUAAACAAAAUUGAAUUA